CAGUAGCCGCGGUAAUACGUAGGUGGCAAGCGUUGUCCGGAAUUAUUGGGCGUAAAGGGCUCGCAGGCGGUUUCUUAAGUCUGAUGUGAAAGCCCCCGGCCCAACCGGGGAGGGUCAUUGGAAACUGGGAAACUUGAGUGCAGAAGAGGAGAGUGGGAUUCCACGUGUAGCGGUGAAAUGCGUAGAGAUGUGGAGGAACACCAGUGGCGAAGGCGACUCUCUGGUCUGUAACUGACGCUGAGGAGCGAAAGCGUGGGGAGCGAACAGGAUUAGAUACCCCGGUAGUCCCUGUCUCUUAUAC
rnacentral:rRNA from 1 species